rnacentral:lncRNA from 1 species
GGAACGUACAGUAAUGUCAUGAACUGGGAGGAAUUCCUUGAUUAUGUUAAUACCACCUAGGAAUAGGGGUAGGAUGAUCAAUUGUGUUUUGCUUCUGCUUAUCAUGGAUUCUUAAUUGCUAGGGGAGGCUUGGGAUAGGAAGCCGGUAAUUAGUAAUAGGCUCUUUUCGUCAAGGAAUUGGAUUAAGGGUAGACAAAGAAAGUUUGCAUAAAAAUAUGAUAAAUAAGCGAAUUAGAUAAGAAAAGUAUAUAUAAGAGGGUGGAUAAGAUGAAAUUGUAAACCCCAACAACUCCAUUCAUUCAUAGUUUCUUUUAGCCAAUUGAUUCACUGCAUUUGCAUGUUUACUUUUGUUUUUGCAUUCAAAACCCAAAAUUAAUUUCUUCUCAAGUCUUAUGCGAUUGGUUUACAUGAAAAGUAAGGCCUAAGAGUCCUUUGGGAAACGAUACUUGGACUUACCCAUUUUAUAUUACUUGAUAACGAUUUGG